AUGUUAGCAUGAUGUCUUAAUUUACUAACCAUUAGAUAUUUUUUAGGAAAAGUUACAAAAAACUACCCUAUAAUUUUGCACAUUUUUUAAAUAGGAUCCUAAGAUUAACUUUUUUACAAAAUGAUACCUCGAGCUUACGUGCCGUUAGUGAAGAAGAGAAUUUGCCUAAGCGCCGAUAAGAUUAAUUACUAUUUAAUCACUAAGAUUUAGUAAAACUUACAUAUUAGUCUUUGUAUUUUUAAAAUUAAUCUAUUUAAUUGUCGCUAUUUUAAUAAACCUAUAUAUUUGUCCUUACUUGAAU
rnacentral:misc_RNA from 1 species